rnacentral:rRNA from 1 species
GAUGAACGCUGGCGGCGUGCCUAAUACAUGCAAGUCGAGCGAAUGGAUUGAGAGCUUGCUCUCGAGAAGUUAGCGGCGGACGGGUGAGUAACACGUGGGUAACCUGCCCAUAAGACUGGGAUAACUCCGGGAAACCGGGGCUAAUACCGGAUAACAUUUUGAACCGCAUGGUUCGAAAUUGAAAGGCGGCUUCGGCUGUCACUUAUGGAUGGACCCGCGUCGCAUUAGCUGGUUGGUGAGGUAACGGCUCACCAAGGCAACGAUGCGUAGCCGACCUGAGAGGGUGAUCGGCCACACUGGGACUGAGACACGGCCCAGACUCCUACGGGAGGCAGCAGUAGGGAAUCUUCCGCAAUGGACGAAAGUCUGGCGGAGCAACGCCGCGUGAGUGAUGAAGGCUUUCGGGUCGUAAAACUCUGUUGUUAGGGAAGAACAAGUGCUAGUUGAAUAAGCUGGCACCUUGACGGUACCUAACCAGAAAGCCACGGCUAACUACGUGCCAGCCGCCGCGGUAACAC